ensembl:snRNA
GUGUAGGAAGGAAGAUGUUAGCACUGUCCUGACAAGAAUGAAAGAGGCCCUUGGGCCUAUUCAGCAAAUAGUAUGGUUCAGGGAUUGGUUCCUACUUCAUGGCAUGACCCAUGAUUUUAU